AAAGCUCAAAUUUAAAAUCUGGCAGUCUUUGAUUGUCCGAGUUGUAAUCUAGAGAAGCGUUUUCCGCGCUGGACUGUAUACAAGUUUCCUGGAUACGGAACAUCAUAGAGGGUGAGAAUCCCGUCCUUGAUACAGACUCCCAGUGCUCUGUGAUGCGCUCUCGACGAGUCGAGUUGUUUGGGAUUGCAGCUCAAAAUGGGAGGUAAAUUCCAUCUAAAGCUAAAUAUUGGGGAGAGACCGNUNGCGAA
rnacentral:rRNA from 1 species